AUUGAACGCUGGCGGCAGGCCUAACACAUGCAAGUCGAGCGGAUGACGGGAGCUUGCUCCUUGAUUCAGCGGCGGACGGGUGAGUAAUGCCUAGGAAUCUGCCUGGUAGUGGGGGACAACGUUUCGAAAGGAACGCUAAUACCGCAUACGUCCUACGGGAGAAAGCAGGGGACCUUCGGGCCUUGCGCUAUCAGAUGAGCCUAGGUCGGAUUAGCUAGUUGGUGGGGUAAUGGCUCACCAAGGCGACGAUCCGUAACUGGUCUGAGGGGAUGAUCAGUCACACUGGAACUGAGACACGGUCCAGACUCCUACGGGAGGCAGCAGUGGGGAAUAUUGGACAAUGGGCGAAAGCCUGAUCCAGCCAUGCCGCGUGUGUGAAGAAGGUCUUCGGAUUGUAAAGCACUUUAAGUUGGGAGGAAGGGCAGUAAGCUAAUACCUUGCUGUUUUGACGUUACCGACAGAAUAAGCACCGGCUAACUCUGUGCCAGCCGCCGCAGUAACAC
rnacentral:rRNA from 1 species